rnacentral:lncRNA from 1 species
GGGGAAGCCAUAUUUAGGGUUUUCAAGCUUCCAAGCUCCAUAGUAAGUGAUUCCAAGCCCCAUUUUUAAUGUUCUUUACGUUUUUGGAGUCCAAGUAACUUGAUAGCUUAUUCUAGCAAUAAUUUAACCUAGGAUUUAUAUUUGGAAAAAUAACCAUAGGUGAAAUGUGUUUAUUUUGAUGUUUUAUGAUAGAAUAUGAAGCUAUAAAUUAUGUUAAACAACUUUUGCUAGCCGAUUUUAAGCGAAAACGAGUAAAACGACAUAAUUGGUAAAAAUAUCUAAUGUUCAUAAGUACAUGUUAGAGUGAGAAUUUGAUGAUGGCAUAGAAGGGAAAAUGUUCAGCGUGUCAUAAAACAUAAGAAUAAGGGAUGAAGUUUAAUUUCUGAGCCUUGGGGAAAAAUGUAAUUAUGUAAAAGUUUAGGGGCAAAAUCCUAAUUUUUACAAAGUUAGAGUCGAGGGCUGUUUUGAUAAAUGUGAGUAUUAAAUAAUUUAAAUUUGCUAUUUUAGAUCAAGAAGAAUGAAACUCGAGGUUAGACAAAGGAAAGAGUAAAGUUGAAGACUAAGUUAGUGAAUUGGGCUAUAUUUGGUACCGAAGUAAGUUUACGGUAAAUAAAUGUAAUAUUUCAAUAAUUAUUAUUAAUGCUGCUAUUUUCCAGCGACUAUGAAUUUAUUCCAUUAAUUUAUUUGAUGUUGAUUCAAGUAUAAAAUGAUAAAGAAUUAAUAUUAAAAAGUCCCGUUGAUACAUAAGGAAAGUACUGGAUACAAAUGUCAUGACAUUUGGGUAAAGAGAUCCCAUGUAAGACCAUGUCUGGGAUAUGGCAUUGGCAUCCUUGAGAUCAUGAGAGGUCCCCUGUAAGACCAUGUCUGGGACAUGGCAUUGGCACCGAGAUGAGAGGUCCCAUGUAAGACCAUGUCUGGGACAUGGCGUUGGCACCGAGAUGAGAGGUCCCCCGUAAGACCAUGUCUGAGACAUGGCAUGGGCACCGACAUGAGAACAUCCCAUGUAAGACCAUGUCUGGGACAUGGCUUUGGCAUGUUAUUAUCAAAAGAGUCUCGAGUAUCCUUAUUAUUCCAAUGUAGCUCAACGGGCUAAUAAACAAAUCAUGUUCAGGAAAGUUCAGUUAAAAGCAUAAAUGCGAGCUUAGGUAAGUUAUAAGAGUUAAGAGCUUAUUAUAUUAUCAAUUGAUACUCAACAUUUCAGCAAGGGAAGAGUAAGUUAUGAUCACGAGUUAACUAAGUAAACAAGCAAGAGAAUGAGAAUGAGAAUGAGAUUAAUCAAAGAGUAAAUUAGAGACCUUGACAUUCGAAUAUAAUCAUUUGUGUUAAAUGUUGUUAUUUAUUUGCUAGUAAACUUACUAAGCUUAAUGCUUACUUCUUUUAUUUUUCUUUCUCUUAUAGUAUUGCAAAGCUGCUUCAGGGAUCCUAAAGAAGUCGGAGAUCGUCUAUACUAUCAAGAACAACUACUCGAUAUUUUAUGAUGAAACACGUUUGAGUUAUGGCAUGUAUAGGG